GACGAACCGUACGAACGUUAUUCGGAAUUACUGGGCUUAAAGGGUGCGUAGGCGGCGCAGUAAGUUGGGUGUGAAAUCCCUCGGCUUAACCGAGGAAUUGCGCCCAAAACUACUGUGCUCGAGGGAGGUAGAGGUGAGCGGAACUUAGGGUGGAGCGGUGAAAUGCGUUGAUAUCCUAAGGAACACCGGUGGCGAAAGCGGCUCACUGGACCGCUUCUGACGCUGAGGCACGAAAGCGUGGGGAGCAAACAGG
rnacentral:rRNA from 1 species